UGUCUGGUAUAUAUUUUUCAUCUAAGGGU
rnacentral:sRNA from 1 species